rnacentral:tRNA from 1 species
GGGCGAUUAGCUCAGCGGUAGAGCGCUACGUUCACAUCGUAGAUGUCGGCAGUUCGAUCCUGCCAUCGCCCACCA